CAGCCGCCGCGGGAAUACAGAGGGUGCGAGCGUUAAUCGGAUUUACUGGGCGUAAAGCGUGCGUAGGCGGCUUCUUAAGUCGGAUGUGAAAUCCCUGAGCUUAACUUAGGAAUUGCAUUCGAUACUGGGAAGCUAGAGUAUGGGAGAGGAUGGUAGAAUUCCAGGUGUAGCGGUGAAAUGCGUAGAGAUCUGGAGGAAUACCGAUGGCGAAGGCAGCCAUCUGGCCUAAUACUGACGCUGAGGUACGAAAGCAUGGGGAGCAAACAGGAUUAGAGACCCGAGUAGUCCCUGUCUCUUAUAC
rnacentral:rRNA from 1 species